CCCCAUCUUUUCUUUUCUCUUCUUCUUUUCCUAUAUUCCAUCCUGUUGAACCUAGCUUUUGUCAGCAACAGGAUAGAUGGUUGCAACGGUCAAGCAUAGACAGCCACUGAUGAUGUUGGGAUUUCUAGCUUCAGGAUCAUGCUUCUCCGGUUACUGCAUUUCUGAUGGGAGUAUCAAGAGGCGAGCUCUGGUGUCUUUGCCCAUGCAGCGACUAACAGAUGAUCUAGAGAGGCAUGAAUCAUGAUGCUUGGUGUCCUGAACGUACAUACAGCCUAUGUGUUGCUGAUCCUGAAAGAGCUAAUUGGAUGGUAUCUCAAGCUCAAGAUCCUGAUAUGGUUGCAGGCCGAUCUUGAGAUCUCUAAAAUAUUGUAUACAAAAGGGAUCCUGGGGUGUUGUUGGGACAGAAAAGAGCAGCACCAAAGAUUCAAAGUAUGAUCAUCCCGACGAUCACUAGCAAGCUAUCUGCGCUUUCACAAACUAUCAGGGUACUUAAAGUGGCAGUAGGCCUGCCGUUCUAGCGCUGCUGCCUCUUUUUCAGCUUAAAAACAGUCCUGAGGACAACCAAACCAAUUUUCAGAGGCCAUUGGCAGCUAGGAGUAGAGAAACAAUCAGCCAAUGGCACGGCAAACUGUCCACUAUCCAAGCACAUUUGCACUACACUAGCAUGCAAAUGUCAGUAAGCAAAUCCAGGCUACAUUCAGAGGCCAUGAGCCUACUGAAGAACCUAGAACAGUUUAAACAAAAACCAUGCCUAGUGACACCUUUUCUGAAUUCAUAACCCCACACUGUUUACUACUUAAUAUCGGCCUCGGUGUUCGUGUGCGUGGUUCGCUCGGGCUAGUGGAGCUCACAUGAGCCGCCAAUAAACUAGCUCAUCAGCUCUCGGCCCCAAAAAGCCAUGGCAGGGCCGCGAGCUUAAACAAAAGGCGCGAGCUCCAGAAACAAUAGAUUCUUCUCAUGGGAUGCGUCCCUCUCUCGAAGGCCGAGGCCCGGGAGGGGGGCAGGAUGGAGGUAUUAAAACUCGGAACCCUGCAUCGCCUAGAGCCAAAUCUCCUGUGUCUUUGACUUGCGAGCUGUGCUCCCAACUGUCUUUGACGAGCCGUGCCUCUAUAUAUCCCACACACGGUUGCCACACACGCUUGCAGAUGCGAGGAGGUAGGUGAGGCCGUGAGGACGAGUACAGGCGAGAACCAGCAGGAGAGCAUG